AUGGAAUCUGCUGACAAUUCCACGGCAGAGGACCCCAUGAGCCCUACCGGAAGAGUCUUCGAGGAGAUGGGUGUCUAUAUCAUAGUCGUGAUGGGGCUUUGCACGCCGGUGAACCUGCCCGUCUUCCGCGCAGGCAUCGAAACAGAACUGCUUACCCGGCUAGAUCUUGCCUCCGUGGACUCUGACCCAGAAAAGGCCGUGGAGGACUACGUGGCGUCUCCAUCCCUGCUCCCGAUGGACAGGCGCCGUCCUCUCUGGGAGUUCCACUUUCUUGACUUCCCGACUUCGGAGGCAGCCUCCACGACGGUGCUCCGCCUGCACCACUCCAUCGGCGACGGCAUGUCGAUCAUCAUUCUCCUCAUGGCGUCGUCGCGCAGCACGGCCGACCCGGCGAGGCAGCCGGCCAUGCCGCCGCCGCCCAAACGCACUGGCGCCAUCUACCAGCGGUGUCCACAGCCUCCGCGGCUUUUGUCAGGCGAUUGCCUUGCGUGGCUUUGGUCGUACUUUGUGCUAGCAUGGCACACGCUGGUGGACAUCGUGUUGCUUGCUGCGACCGUAUUGUUCUUGAGAGAUCCAGGCACGAUGUUCACGCUUGUGCCAGACAGCGGCCAGUCUCGCGGCCGCAAGCGCUUGGUGCACCAGAGCCUCAGGCUCGACGAUGUCAAGCUCAUCAAGACUGUCAUGAACUGCACUAUGAAUGACUUGCUAGUUGGUGUGACUUCAGCAGCUCUUUCACGGUACUACUUUAGGAAAUCCUGUAACAUCAACACCAAGAGAAUCUGCUUGCGAUCAAUCCUCCCUGUGAACACAAGGCCAGUCUCCAGCCGACAAACAUAUGUUACCAAGGUAGAGACCGGGAAUCAAAUUAGCAACAUCAUCUGUCCAUUUUAUAUAGCCUUGCACAAUGAUCCCCUUGAGUAUGUUCGCACGGCAAAAAGGUCUAUGCAUAGGAAAAAGAGCUCUUUAGAAGUGAUGUUCGCACAAAUGACUGUUGAUUUUUUGGUGAAAUACUUUGGUCCAAAGACAGGAGCUUUCAUCUUCCGCUGCUUUGUCACACGUACAACCGCAGUCUUAUCAAAUGUCGUAGGGCCAGCUGAACAUAUAACUUUAUGUGGGCACCCGAUUUCCUUCAUGGCAAUUAGCGUCUAUGGUUUACCACAAUACCCUACCAGGCCAGGCGCCCUUAUCCUCUCCUUCUCCUCUCUUCUUCUCGUCUUAUCCGUCCCUCCCCCACACUCCUUCUCAUUGCCCGCUCAGAUCCGGCCAGCGGCGGCACCGACGAGAAGCUCACCGUGGAAACCACGAAGACCGAUGCCGAUUGACUCUUCCCCACGAUCCACGCUUUUCCUACCGAUCUGUCCAGCGCCCCUCCUCCCAUCGGUCAGCAUAGUCUUCCUCGCCUGUUUGUAUGACUUCAUUUUCCAGGGGCUUCGCCUACCACAUUUCUUUCCAAAACGUGUUGAACUUACUUUCGUGCCUUCACCUCCCUUCUCUCUUACCUGCAGAUGGUACUACACUUGCGGUCAAAUAUUUUUGGUACUGACAUUUUUUUCUCACCUGCAGCAGGUCCCAGCAAUGGCGUCUGUUCCAGUUUCGUCUAAGGUCCUGCUUGACGCUAUGUUAGAAAAGGUUGGCCUUCCAGCGGCCACCUACUCAGCAUCCCCAAAAGACGACACGCAUUUGCAGGUCACUGUUAGCUUUUACCCAAUCAAGAUCAGGCUGGGAAAGUCACCUGACAAAGUUUCCCUGUCUACCUCAGAGCACCAAGAUCUAGAGAUAGCUCAGGAUUACGUGGUUGCUGCAGUGAUUAAGUACAUGGAUGCUUACGAGGGUGUGGUUCCUAAAGAUUACCAUUAUGAUCAACUGAUGAAUGUGGAAAAGGCAAAUAAGCUGAAAGAGAGCAUUACCACAAACAAGCUCCUGAGCAAAGGAUGGGAUGGAUCCCUGGACACAGAGCAGAGGAUCGUCAACAACCUUAAGCAUCUGGUUAACAGCAGGCUGACUCCAGGAUCUACUCCAGAUGACCUGGAGCUCAACAACGUUCUUCUCAAUGUAGAUGCCAGUUGCGAAUACCUUCAACAGUACACUGAUGAGGCCAUGGUCAACCUUCAAGAGACCGGUAUCUAUCCCUAUGGCCAGGAGCAAUCAACUGAUGAAGAUGAGGACCUGCCAACCCAAAGCGAUGAAAAUCCACCAUACGACCCAGAGAUGAGGACCUUCCUUGAUGAUGAACAGAUCUUUGACAGUGAAGGAUACUGCUCUGAUGACUACCGUGUUCUACCUGAAGAUCACUUCUAA
rnacentral:rRNA from 1 species